UAUGUAGCUCAGUUGGAUAGAGCGUCUGGCUACGGACCAGAAGGCCGAGGGUUCGAAUCCUUUCAUA
rnacentral:tRNA from 2 species